AAUACAAACUUGUUUCAUUUAUUUGAAACAGAAUGUGGAGGUCUUGUUUCGACAAGUCCUUUUAAACGACACUACCUGUACGUCCUUGUGGGAUAUACAAUAUACAGGUUACUAUGAUUUCAAUUUCUAAAGUUCUGUUCAACUGUAACGGCUUGGAAGGAGGAAUAAAUUGCGGUAGUUUUGCUUGAGUUUCGGCUCGAGUGAACAUCAAUAUUGCUUUUUGUUUUUCUGGAAGAGUUGCGGCGGAAGUGUAGAAUGGGAGGUUGAAUAGUAGUGACUGGUGUAUUCCUUGGCGUAUGGAGGCAAAUUGGGAACUAUAUCCAAUU
rnacentral:misc_RNA from 1 species